ACUAAUAUGGCAGAGAAGUGCGGUGGAUUUAAGCUUCAUGAAUAAAGAUUAACUUUUUUUAGUA
rnacentral:tRNA from 1 species